GGGGGCUGCUCCUAGUACGAGAGGACCGGAGUGGACGCAUCACUGGUGUUCGGGUUGUCAUGCCAAUGGCACUGCCCGGUAGCUAAAUGCGGAAGAGAUAAGUGCUGAAAGCAUCUAAGCACGAAACUUGCCCCGAGAUGAGUUCUCCCUGACUCCUUGAGAGUCCUGAAGGAACGUUGAAGACGACGACGUUGAUAGGCCGGGUGUGUAAGCGCAGCGAUGCGUUGAGCUAACCGGUACUAAUGAACCGUGAGGCUUAACCUUACAACGCCGAAGGUGUUU
rnacentral:rRNA from 2 species